rnacentral:rRNA from 1 species
AAUAGCAAGUGUGACCCACCUGAUCCAUUUCGAACUCAGAAGUGAAACCACUUAGCGCCGAUGGUAGUGU